UCCGGCUUAUCACCGGCGGUUUCUUUAGAGUGCCCAACUAAAUGAUGGCAACUAAAGACGAGGGUUGCGCUCGUUGCGGGACUUAACCCAACAUCUCACGACACGAGCUGACGAUAGCCAUGCAGCACCUGUCACCGGUCCAGCCGAACUGAAGGGAUCCAUCUCUGAGCGUAGCGCGGGAUGUCAAACCCUGGUAAGGUUCUGCGCGUUGCGUCGAAUUAAACCACAUGCUCCACCGCUUGUGCGGGCCCCCGUCAAUUCCUUUGAGUUUUAGCCUUGCGGCCGUACUCCCCAGGCGGGGCACUUACUGCGUUAGCGCCGGCACCGACGGACUCAAAACCGCCGACACCUAGUGCCCAUCGUUUACGGCGUGGACUAC
rnacentral:misc_RNA from 1 species